rnacentral:rRNA from 1 species
UACGAAGGGGGGCUAGCGUUGCUCGGAAUCACUGGGCGUAAAGGGUGCGUAGGCGGGUCUUUAAGUCAGGGGUGAAAUCCUGGAGCUCAACUCCAGAACUGCCUUUGAUACUGAGGAUCUUGAGUUCGGGAGAGGUGAGUGGAACUGCGAGUGUAGAGGUGAAAUUCGUAGAUAUUCGCAAGAACACCAGUGGCGAAGGCGGCUCACUGGCCCGAUACUGACGCUGAGGCACGAAAGCGC